GAUCAAGCGUUUAAGGGCUUCUGACGGAUGCCUUGGCGUAGAGAGGCGAUGAAGGACGUGGCAAGCUGCGAUAAGAGCCGGGGAGGCGCUAGCACCCUUUGAUCCGGCUAUUUCCGAAUGGGGAAACCCACCUUUACAGUCUUCCAACUCUGCUUUUCGGAGCAGCGAUUGGUGGAUUGUUGAAAGGUAUAAUGAGCUGAAUACAUAGGCUUCAUUAAGCGAACCCGGUGAACUGAAACAUCUCAGUAACCGGAGGAAAGGACAUCAACCG
rnacentral:rRNA from 1 species